CCCGGGAGGGAGACAGCAGGCAGCAUGGAUUCUGUGAGGGGCACCAGGCAGUGGGCUAUGAGCAACCCCUGAAACAGGAUUGUCUACACAGACAGAGCCAGCCAGACCCUGAAGUCUGAAAUCGCAUCUGAGUCAACCAGCCAAUGUGUUUGACAUCUACUCCUAACAGAUAGCAGGGCUCAGAGAUUCCAUGGCAUCCUGUGAUGCUUGUUUCAGCCAUUACCCACUUUUCCUAGAUCACCUCUGCUCAGCGAAUGUCUCUUCUAUGGAAACUUUAAUGAAAACAUUCUGCUUCACAGAGGAGCCCUGCCUGGAAGUGAAGCCCCCACCAGGACCAUGAGAGCCAGAGACACACAGAAGGAGGCCACUCCUGGAGGCCCCCAGCACAUGGUGGCCUUCACACAAAGCACAGACACUUACCGUCAGACACGGGCUUACCUCUGGCCCCGCCAGUAAUUUGCUGUCUCUCCUCAGGGGGCCGCACUGGGCAAAGCCUCAGCCUUCAUCAAACCAUUUCCUCUUGCAGGAUCAUCAAGGUCAGAUGAGAACCGACCCAGGACCACUGGGGAGACACACUGACAGAACAGGGGCCUCUCUGCCCUUCCCUUUCCCUGCCUGGCUCAGCUCUGUCUUCUGCAUCUUUUUUCUACCAAACUUCCAAGGACGAGGAACUUGAAAAGCAUAAUUAUUUCUUUAUUCUAUGUUGAGAACUAAAAUAUUUCUGGAAAAUGAA